UCUUAUCACCAUUCCAGAUUGAAUAUACCCGAUCUCGUCUGAUCUCGGAAGUCAAGCAAUCUCGGGCUUGGUUAGUACUUGGAUGGGUGACCGCUUGGGAAUACCAUGUGUGAUAAGCA
rfam:Ciona savignyi cont_33187, whole genome shotgun sequence.